rnacentral:rRNA from 1 species
UACAGAGGUCUCAAGCGUUGUUCGGAUUUACUGGGCGUAAAGGGCGCGUAGGCGGCAUGACAAGUCACUUGUGAAAUCUCUGAGCUUAACUCAGAACGGCCAAGUGAAACUGUUGUGCUAGAGUGCAGAAGGGGCAACUGGAAUUCUCGGUGUAGCGGUGAAAUGCGUAGAUAUCGAGAGGAACACCUGCGGCGAAGGCGGGUUGCUGGGCUGACACUGACGCUGAUGCGCGAAAGCCAGGGGAGCGAACGGG